rnacentral:rRNA from 1 species
AGUGAACGCUGGCGGUAGGCCUAACACAUGCAAGUCGAACGGCAGCACAGUAAGAGCUUGCUCUUACGGGUGGCGAGUGGCGGACGGGUGAGGAAUACAUCGGAAUCUACUUUUUCGUGGGGGAUGACGUAGGGAAACUUACGCUAAUACCGCAUACGACCUACGGGUGAAAGCAGGGGAUCUUCGGACCUUGCGCGAUUGAAUGAGCCGAUGUCGGAUUAGCUAGUUGGCGGGGUAAAGGCCCACCAAGGCGACGAUCCGUAGCUGGUCUGAGAGGAUGAUCAGCCACACUGGAACUGAGACACGGUCCAGACUCCUACGGGAGGCAGCAGUGGGGAAUAUUGGACAAUGGGCGCAAGCCUGAUCCAGCCAUACCGCGUGGGUGAAGAAGGCCUUCGGGUUGUAAAGCCCUUUUGCUGGGAAAGAAAAGCAGCAGGUUAAUACCCCGCUGUUCUGACGGUACCCAAAGAAUAAGCACCGGCUAACUUCGUG